rnacentral:antisense_RNA from 2 species
UGUUAUGGCGGCUGUGCGCGGGCAUGUUUCGACAUGGCCGGGUUUUUGGUGGGUGUUAACCCGGAUUCUCACCCCGCGUACGGCUGCCACUCUC